GAUGAGCGCUGGCGGCGUGCUUAACACAUGCAAGUCGAACGGAAAGGCUCCUGCUUGCAGGGGUACUCGAGUGGCGAACGGGUGAGUAACACGUGGGUGAUCUGCCCUGCACUUCGGGAUAAGCCUGGGAAACUGGGUCUAAUACCGGAUAGGACCACAUUUUGGAUGGUGUGGUGGAAAGUUUUUCGGUGUGGGAUGAGCUCGCGGCCUAUCAGCUUGUUGGUGGGGUAAUGGCCUACCAAGGCGUCGACGGGUAGCCGGCCUGAGAGGGUGUACGGCCACAUUGGGACUGAGAUACGGCCCAGACUCCUACGGGAGGCAGCAGUGGGGAAUAUUGCACAAUGGGCGCAAGCCUGAUGCAGCGACGCCGCGUGGGGGAUGACGGCCUUCGGGUUGUAAACUCCUUUCGCUAGGGACGAAGCGUUUUUGUGACGGUACCUGGAGAAGAAGCACCGGCUAACUACGUG
rnacentral:rRNA from 1 species